AAGAAAGAAGGAGGGAUGGAUUUCCGAGAUUUACACUGUUUUAAUCAAGCAAUGUUGGCUAAGCAGUGUUGGAGACUACUAAGUGAACCAGAGUCUUUGUGUGCUCAGGUACUUUGUGCGAAAUAUUAUCCGAAGGGGGGCCUUUUCAAUGCGGUUCUUAAAAAAGGUGCCUCGUUGGGAGGCAAUGGGGCAAGUAUUAAUAUUUGGUCUGAUCUUUGGAUCCCUACCGCCCAUGAUAGGCCUGUGAUGACACCACGCGGGCAUUGCCUUCUUGAGACGGUACAAGAUCUUAUUGAUCCACGUACGGGAGAGUGGGAUGUACAAUUGGUACAUGACAAUUUUUGUCCUAUUGACGUUACAAGGAUUAUGCAAAUUCCGCUUCCAUCCCAAGAACAACCAGAUUUCAUAGCAUGGCAAUUAUGUAAGUCUGGGAGAUUUACUGUCCGUUCGGCUGAUCAUGCGGAAUGGAAAGCGGAGUAUCGAACUAGAGCGGGUAUUGAUACUGGUGUGGGAAGAAGCAUGUCACAUCCGAUAUGGAAAUUACUUUGGGAUCUGAGUAUCCCUCCAAAGUACAUAUUUUUAUUUGGAGAGCUCUACACGGAAUUGUGCCCUGUUAUUGUAAUUUAG
rnacentral:rRNA from 1 species